UACAGAGGGGGCAAGCGUUAUUCGGAAUUAUUGGGCGUAAAGGGCGCGUAGGCGGCUUGGCAACUGGAAGGUGAAAUCCCUCGGCUUAACCGAGGAACUGCCCUCCAAACUGCCUGGCUUGAGACCGGGAGAGGUGAGUGGAAUUCCCAGUGUAGCGGUGAAAUGCGUAGAUAUUGGGAGGAACACCAGUGGCGAAGGCGGCUCACUGGACCGGUACUGACGCUGAUGCGCGAAAGCGUGGGGAGCAAACGGG
rnacentral:rRNA from 1 species